rnacentral:rRNA from 1 species
UACGAAGGGGGCUAGCGUUGCUCGGAAUCACUGGGCGUAAAGCGCACGUAGGCGGCUUUUUAAGUCAGAGGUGAAAUCCUGGAGCUCAACUCCAGAACUGCCUUUGAUACUGGAGAGCUUGAGUCCGGGAGAGGUGAGUGGAACUGCGAGUGUAGAGGUGAAAUUCGUAGAUAUUCGCAAGAACACCAGUGGCGAAGGCGACUUACUGGACACAUAUUGACGCUGAGGUGCGAAAGCGUGGGGAGCAAACAGG